UCAACAAUGAAGAAGCAUAUGCCCAAAUGUUCAACACCAUACACGCAGGAGCCUGUGUACACUGGCGUCUUUUAAGAAAUAGACUGCAAUACAAUUUUAGAGAUCUCCAGAAAUGAUGGCGAGUGGAUAUGUGCAUUUCUAUGAGGGGAAGUUCCAAAUUCUCACACCAGGUACAGCAUGAGUGACAGCAUUGUUAUUGCCAAAGGGUAUUGUACUCUCUGUCUAAUCUGCUGGAUCAUAGCACACCGACAUCACUCCUCUUCAUGAUUGGUUUGUCCAAACACCUUUGAGAGAAACGCAGCUGGUGAACGGCAUAGGCCAAUUAAAGUCUGAGGAGCACUUCACAGCCCCUGGGAGUAGGAGUGGAUCUGUGCCCCCUCGCAUGAAUACGCUUGUGCUGGACACCCAUAGAAUCAUCCUUGGUUUUAGGUAUGUCAAACAUCAAACUACACCAGUAUUACAAACACACACUCUAAUCCGUCUUCUAUAUGAGAAGGUGAAGUUUGCAUGGUGACCUGAAACUGCAUGAAAUUCGACACUGCCGCCCCCCCCAAUAUAGGUCAAAGUUCAGGCCACCUUUCAUCUCCCUUUGCAAGCAGGAUGGGACCACUACUAGGUCAGCUAGGGGUCAAGUGGUGGAGAGUGACCACAAGGUGAUUGUGCUUCCUGGAAAAUCUAUUGGCUACUCCUGUCUCCUGCCCUCUCAAGAGGAGAACCCAUGACUCCAUCAUCUCCCAAGAAGCGUAUAUUAGGAAGAAAUCUAUACAUUCUGCGUAACCGCACAUACACAUAUAGGGUCUGGUCGACAGGGACACAGUCUAUGCCAGACGGCCAUGAUGAAUCACCUGUGGUGAAGAGGAGUAUGGUGUUGUCUCCCCUUCCUGAACCUGGAAGAUGAAAGGGUCUUCAUGAAGGAAGAACCCCCCCCCCCGCCCUCUCCACGACCGGUCAGACGAGGCACAUCCAACAGUCACCGCCACCUGCAGGGCUGAAGCUCCACACGCAAUGAUGCCUCCUGAAAGUGGGAGUGACAGGUAGACAGGGUUAGUCACUUCUGACUCCCCUGCAGCUAUCUCUACCCACAGCUCUAAAGAUAUUUUCUUUCGUCUUAUUAAGAGAAGUCCUAUUAGUUUGAUUAAAUAACCCUUUUUGUCACAAAUAUUCCUCAUAAACAUACACAUCAAUUCUCCAUCACUGGCAACAGACACACAAUCCUGGUUAUUGCAGUUUUAUUCUUUCAAUGUUUUCUGCCCAUAUGGAAAGCUUGUUGGAACAUUCCCUUUGUUUGUUACAUAGACAUGCUUGUCUAAGCAUGGAGCUGCAUGCCCCAAUGAACGCCUGUGGCAUGUAGUGACUCACCAUAAACUUUUGGGACUGAUGACAAUAGUUGUAUGGAUAAACAAAGCAUAGGCUACCAUUCAG